UUGGCAGCAAAGGAGGGCAAGACGGGUGAGGCCAUAUGGAGCGCAAUGCAGCAGGUUUUCACUCGUAUCAUGGAGGAGGAUGGCAACGACUUGUUGGAAACUCAGGAUCCACCAGAAUCAUCGGGCAUUCACAAAGCCACUCGAUCCGUAACACGCUACAUGGGAUUCCUGCAGGCUAAUUACUCGUCAGUGGCUCCAAUUGUAUCUGAAGCAGCUAGGUACGGUGAGUAUGCGCCUCAGAAUGGAGGCAUACCACCGUUGGACAGCAUGGUCUUAGAGAUGGCGUCUUGUCUAGAAGAAAAGCUUGGCAGAAUUUCGCAGUUAUUCCCAAAUAACAGCCUUGGAUUCCUUUUCGUGAUCAACAAUUUGUACUAUCUGAUGGAGCAGCUUAGUGCAAAUCCAAUGAGUAGUCUCAGCUUCAGUAUUCCAGUCCUCACUCGCAAAAUAAAGAACACUAUAGAGUACUAUCUGCAAGUGUCUUGGGCACCAGUGCUGUUAUGCUUGCAUAUUAGCCAUACACCUUUUCGGUUGGGAAGAUAUUGCUCCCCAUUGCCUAAAUUCGACUCAGAGUUUCUGAAAACCUACGAGGUCCAGAAAUUCUGGAAGGUUCCGAACCCUGACCUGAGGGAAGUCCUGCGGAGAGCUGUCGCGGAGAAGGUCGUCUCAGGAUUGACAGAAUACUUGAGGGAUUCUAAUACUACUUGUACUGUUAGGACCCUAGGAAGCAGUUUCACCCCUCAAGAGCUGGAGGAGAUGUUGCAAGAGCUAUACGAAGGAUGAAACAUGUUUCUAUGAUCUUCUGAUCCAUUGCAAUCAAAGGAAACAUAAGAGUACUGUUAUCGAGACAUGUAGUGAUUUUCUUUUUGUAAUAUUGCUGCUAUCUUAUGCAGGGCAAUUACCCGUCCUCGCAGUCAUGUGGGGGUCAUAUAUAUGAGCCACUGAUAGUGAGCCAAAGAGAAAAAGGAUUUGAACUCAAUUAAUAUGGUGGCAAAUUGUUGAAUUGUGAGAUCUAAAAAUUGUUAGAUAAUCCUUGUAACAUUUAUCAUUUUGAGUGUGUAUUUGU
rnacentral:lncRNA from 1 species